GCCCACAUAGCUCAGCCGGCAGAGCACUUCCUUGGUAAGGAAGAGGUCAUGGGUUCAAGUCCCAUUGUGGGCUCCA
rnacentral:tRNA from 1 species